ACGGGGUGCAGCAGGCGCGAAAACUCCACAAUGUACGCCAGUACGAUGGGGUUAUCUCGAGUGCAGUCCGAUAAGGGCUGCUUUUCCAUAGAGUAAUAUCCUGUGGGAAUAAGAGGGGGGCAAGACUGGUGUCAGCCGCCGCGGUAACACCAGCCCCUCGAGUGGUGGGGACUAUUAUUUGGCCUAAAGCAUCCGUAGCUGGCUGAGUUAGUCCUUUGUUAAAUCCACCGAAUUAAUCGUUGGAUUGCGGGGGAUACUGCUUGGCUAGGGGACGAGAGAGGCAGACGGUAUUUUCGGGGUAGGGGUGAAAUCCUAUAAUCCCGGGAAGACCACCAGCGGCGAAGGCUGUCUGCUAGAACGCGCCCGACGGUGAGGGAUGAAAGCUGGGGGAGCGAACCGGACUAGAUACCCGGGUAGUCCCAGCUGUAAACGAUGCAGGCUAGGUGUUUGGACGGCCACGUGCCGUUCUAGUGCCGCAGGGAAGCUGUUAAGCCUGCCGCCUGGGGAGUACGAUCGCAAGAUUGAAACUUAAAGGAAUUGGCGGGGGAGCAC
rnacentral:rRNA from 1 species